rnacentral:rRNA from 1 species
UACGUAGGGUGCAAGCGUUGUCCGGAAUUAUUGGGCGUAAAGAGCUCGUAGGCGGUCUGUCGCGUCGGAUGUGAAAACCCAGGGCUCAACCCUGGGCCUGCAUUCGAUACGGGCAGACUAGAGUUCGGUAGGGGAGACUGGAAUUCCUGGUGUAGCGGUGAAAUGCGCAGAUAUCAGGAGGAACACCGGUGGCGAAGGCGGUUCUCUGGGAAUGUCCUGACGCUGAGGAGCGAAAGUGUGGGGAGCGAACAGG